rnacentral:rRNA from 1 species
AUGACAUCCCUUACUAUGCUUGUGUCUUGGGCAGUUUGGAAUGAGAUAAAUGCACAGGUUUUUCGACACAAGUCUGCUCCUCCGACCGUCCUUCUCGCGGCCAUAAAGAAAGAGUCUAAGCUUUGGUGCAUUGCGGACGCUAAACGUCUUGGCCAAAUCAUACCGGAAGAGUAA